UACGAAGGGGGCUAGCGUUGUUCGGAAUCACUGGGCGUAAAGCGCACGUAGGCGGAUUUUUAAGUCAGGGGUGAAAUCCCGGGGCUCAACCUCGGAACUGCCUUUGAUACUGGAGAUCUUGAGUCCGGAAGAGGUAAGUGGAACUGCGAGUGUAGAGGUGAAAUUCGUAGAUAUUCGCAAGAACACCAGUGGCGAAGGCGGCUUGCUGGUCCGGAACUGACGCUGAGGUG
rnacentral:rRNA from 1 species